UACGUAGGGGGCAAGCGUUGUCCGGAUUUACUGGGCGUAAAGCGCGUGUAGGCGGCCACGCAGGUCCGUUGCGAAAACUAGAGGCUCAACCUCUAGACGUCGACGGAAACCGUGUGGCUAGAGUCCGGAAGAGGAGAGUGGAAUUCCUGGUGUAGCGGUGAAAUGCGCAGAUAUCAGGAAGAACACCAAUGGCGAAGGCAGCUCUCUGGGACGGUACUGACGCUGAGACGCGAAAGCGUGGGGAGCGAACAGG
rnacentral:rRNA from 1 species